CCUGCCCCCUAAGAGCAUUGCUGAUGUGGCUGCUGUGUCAUGUGUGUGUCAGAGGGUGGCAGAGAGGAGAGAGGCUAUGUCUAUGCUCAGUGUUCUGACCUAUGAACAUCGGAACGACUAACAUUCAGG
rnacentral:snoRNA from 1 species